rnacentral:rRNA from 1 species
GAGUGCGAUCAUACCAGUGCUAAUGCACCAGAUCCCAUCAGAACUCCGAAGUUUAACGUGGUUGGGCGAGAGUAGUACUAAGAUGGGUGACCUCUUGGGAAGUCCUGGUGUUGCACCUC